GGAUUCUCUACCACUGAACCACCAGAAAAGCUCUGAAAGGUGACUUACUGGUUUACAAUUUGUGGAAGAGAGGGCUGGAAGGAAAAGGCGUGGAUGCGUUAGCUGUGGUGACAUCGCAGAACUAAAAAUCUCGGUCCCGAGAGAAGUCUAAAAUGGGAUUUCUAAGCACAGUGGAAACCACGAGAGAGAAUAUCUGAAGCAAUUCAUUAAAAUCUUGGCAGCAGAGCCAAGCUCCUGUCUCCCUGAAAGCUGCCUUUACUGAAGCUUCAAUUCCCGCCACAGAA